AUACUACAAAAACAAAAUAAUUGUCUAUAUAUCUCUAAAAGUUUCGAAAAUAUCUCAUUUAUCUAUACUUUUUUUCUCUUUCCAAUAUACCUCUCAUAUAUUCCAAUGUUAUUUCAAAAUAUUCCUAUAUUGUCACCCGUUAAGUUAACUUGGGUUAAAUAUGAGUUAAAUAUCUAUCAGAAUUAAAAUAAAUCAAAAUGUCUUUUUUGACUUUAACUUAAGAGCAAAUAAAAAAUAUUGGUAAUGGUAAAAGGAUAUAUUUAAAAAUACAAAAAUUAAAAUAUCUUUUGUGCCCUAGCUUAUGGGUAAAUAAGAAAAAUCGGUGAUGAUAGAAGGCUAUAUUGGAAAGGAUAAAAUAGUAAUUAUAUAGAAAUAACAACUAUUGCUAACAGUUUAUUAAUAAAAUUUAAAGGCAUAUUUGAAAUAGGUUGGAAUGUUAAAAAGCAUUUUCAAUAUUAGUCUUCUAAGAUAUAUAAAUAAAUUAGAAAGUCGAAAACUUUUCAAGAAUAUAUAAGUAAUUGUCCCGGAAAAAAAAACUCUCCGUUAUACAUUAGCUAGAUAUAUCCAAA
rnacentral:lncRNA from 1 species